ensembl:lncRNA
CGGGGACGGGACACGGGCAACAGGCUCAGCCCCCGCGCGCGCUCGGAGCGCCGCUCCCCCGCGGGGCCUUGCGCUGACCUGCAGGCGGCUGCUCAGCCCGGCGAAGCGAGCCGUCCCGUCGCCUGUCUCCCGCCGCGGCGGCUGCUCGGGCGGGGGCGGCUCCACACUACGCCGCGGCCAGCAGCGACGCGCCUCCUGGCUGGGCCUGGCCGCCCCGCCCUGUGCGCGGAGAGGAGGGUGCAGCAGCUGAGCUCCCCCCGACGACUCCACACCCCCGUUCCCCAGCGACACCGCACGCCCCGCCGGCACCAACACCCCCGGACGGGAGCUACGCGGCUGCAGACCAGCCUCUCCCACCCCCGGCCUGCACGCUAGGGACUCGCUCAUCCCUCCCAUCCCCGCAGGCAAAUUUAGGGGCUGCAUCCUCCCCAGCGCCUUGCCACCACGUCAUCUCUGAGGGGCUCCCCGCCGCCCCCCAAUUGCUACAGGUCACCAGAGCUGUACUGCCUGCCACCCAGCUCCUGCAAGCCUGCACUCCCCCCACUGCACGCACAGCCUGGUGUGUCGGGCUCUCACCCAACUUGAUCCGAACCUCGGGGGACACGACCCCCUUCAGCUCUUGUGCACCCUUCCCUGAUGUCGUCCGCACCGCGCUGGGGCACCCAUCCAUCCUGAGCCUUCAGAACCCAAGCCCACCUUUCACCACUUGGUCCCUGAACCUGGGAACACAGGCAGAGGAGGCACUAGAAUCUUAUGUUUUCUUUGGUGGUCCAUGAUGGCCUGUAGAAGAGGAACAAAGUAAUUUCUUCUUCAAUCUGCCAAUUUUUUGGAAAUGGUCAUCUGGAGCAAUGGCUUUCAGUCAUCAUGGACCCAAAUUGGAUUUGAAGCAGAUACUUAGAGACAAUGUUUAUCCUAUGUGACAGACCGCUCCCAGAGUCUAAUCUGGUGUGCUGCCAUAACUCCACAAUCUUCACUCCUGUACUCCUUCUAACCCCGCUUUACCAGGUGAUUACUCACUCCUGAGUCAAUCAACACCAGCCUCUUCCAUGUAAUUGGUCCCAGGCAGUGGGUGUACACCCUCUGGCCACCUAAGGGACGGUCUCCAAGUGAGCACCCCACCCCCCAGACACCAUACCAGGAACUCCCAUCCUACAUAGAUUGGGAACCAGCCCCAAUCACUUUAGACUCAUAGAUCUCUAUUCAUCCAUUUAACAAAGAAAUGGAUGUACUCAGCUUUCUUCAUUCACACCCUCUAAAGUCCACACAGCUUUAGAUAAAACAAACACUAGUUUAUUGAUUAGAAUAUGAUUUUAAGUGAGUAUAUAGCAAAUCAAUGCACAAUCACAUAAUAAAGUAGUCAUCAGUUACCACAAGUAAAUGAAAUAUAUAAAACGCAUGCUACAACACUACUACAAUUAUGCUUAUUUCACGACUCAGGUCUGGCUGUGGUGGUUUGCAGCCAUUCUCUGCUUAUUUCUAGACAGGGCCCAAUUCUUGUGGUAGAUGUUUCAAGAUGGGAAGUCCCUGGACAAAAGCCUGGAAAAAGCUCAAAGCAUCUGUCAUUGUUUUCAGUCUCUUCUUAGCCCCCUGAUCCCUUCCUGGGCAGGGGAUCUCUUUGUCCCAUCAGAGUCAGGGACCUCAAUUUGCAUAGUCUUUGUUACCUCCUGCAGGUACUUGCUUGCAGAUUUGGCUGUUUACAUGCUGCUGGCAGACGAUUCUGUUUGUCCUUCUUCCCCCAGAGCCAUGUAACCUGCUUCACAUAUAUGCACAUACAUGAUGCUGCAGGAAGCAUCCUGUGACAUCCUGGCUUAACAUUCUUAAUUUUUUCUCUCUUGGAGGGAAUAGCUAUUCUUUAAUACCAAAAUUCUCUUUGCCUUGGGCAAAAAUACAAACUUCUACAUAAAAAACCCCCUAAUUCUAAAUAAUUCAAAAACUUUCAUCUGCUGGGUUGUUCCUCACAUUCAUGGGCCUUGAGUGCAUUUAAACACCCAAAGAACUGAGGAAGUUUGUGGCUAGAGUUUCAGCCAUACAGUCUUUUCUCCUUUUAUAUACUGUACUGAAAAAAUAGUUACAAAAAUAUAAUAGUUAUCUGCGAAGCAAAGCAAUAAUGUAUCAGUGGUAGAAUGGACACUGGUCACUAUUCUAUCUUCAUAGAAGCUUUGGCAGUUUAACUAGUUUUUCUUGUUUCAGUUGUAUUUGUGCUAUAGUCACAACAGAAGUAAAAUUUAAAUAUGCACAAUUCAUACUAAUUUCCAAAGUAAACCAUUGAAACAAAAUGUUCAGUACUGUCUACAUCAUUUUGGGACAUUCCUUUUGGCUUCCUU